rnacentral:piRNA from 1 species
UCCUAGCUUUUGGNGGCUGCUAGUAGUCC